rnacentral:rRNA from 1 species
GACGAACGCUGGCGGCGUGCCUAAUACAUGCAAGUCGAGCGAAGUUUUUCUGGUGCUUGCACUAGAAAAACUUAGCGGCGAACGGGUGAGUAACACGUAAAGAACCUGCCUCAUAGACUGGGACAACUAUUGGAAACGAUAGCUAAUACCGGAUAACAGCAUUAACUGCAUGGUUGAUGUUUAAAAGUUGGUUUUGCUAACACUAUGAGAUGGCUUUGCGGUGCAUUAGCUAGUUGGUGGGGUAAAGGCCUACCAAGGCGACGAUGCAUAGCCGACCUGAGAGGGUGAUCGGCCACACUGGGACUGAGACACGGCCCAGACUCCUACGGGAGGCAGCAGUAGGGAAUCUUCCGCAAUGGGCGAAAGCCUGACGGAGCAACGCCGCGUGAGUGAAGAAGGAUUUCGGUUCGUAAAGCUCUGUUGUUAGGGAAGAAUGAUUGUGUAGUAACUAUACACAGUAGAGACGGUACCUAACCAGAAAGCCACGGCUAACUACGUGCCAGCAGCCGCGGUAAUACGUAGGUGGCAAGCGUUGUCCGGAAUUAUUGGGCGUAAAGCGCGCGCAGGUGGUUUAAUAAGUCUGAUGUGAAAGCCCACGGCUCAACCGUGGAGGGUCAUUGGAAACUGUUAAACUUGAGUGCAGGAGAGAAAAGUGGAAUUCCUAGUGUAGCGGUGAAAUGCGUAGAGAUUAGGAGGAACACCAGUGGCGAAGGCGGCUUUUUGGCCUGUAACUGACACUGAGGCGCGAAAAGCGUGGGGAGCAAACAGG